GGUUCUUAGAGAUAAUUAAGAAUCAAACCUGCUCAGUGCAUCUGUAAAUAGCCGCGGUAUCCUGACCGUGCAAAGGUAGCAUAAUCAUUAGCUUUUUAAUUAAAGGCUGGAAUGAAAGGUAAAACUAUGUAUUUCUGUCUUAUAAUAAUACUUCAAAUUUUAUUAUUUAGUAAAAAAGCUAAAAUCAUUUUUAGGGACAAGAAGACCCUAUCGAGCUUUACAAAAUCUUAUUAUUUAUCUUAAAAUAAACAUAUUUUGUUUUACUGGGGCAGUAUUCGAAAAAAAAAUAUCUUUUAAUCAUUGUGAAAAAUUAAUCUUGCAAAACCAAAAAAUUUUUAAAUAAAAAUAAGUUACCGUAGGGAUAACAGCGUAAUUUUUCUUUAGAGAACGUAUCAACAGAAAAGUUUGCGACCUCGAUGUUGGAUUAAGAAACCUAUUUUGCGCAAUAGUAAAAAAAGGAAGUCUGUUCGACUUUUAAAUUCUUCCA
rnacentral:rRNA from 1 species